AUACGGAACAUGUGAGGAUACGCGAAUUUCUCUCCCUCGCGAUUGCGAAUACAUAUAAAUUGCAUAAUGAAAAGAUCGCAGUAUGGUCGAGCGUCCAGCUCAUGGCGUAACCGCGGAACAGAAGUUUCGGGCGCAGAGGUCGUCGUCGCCCUCGCCGUCGCCUAUUGCCGUCGUUGAUCCUAACAACGACAACCCCCCACGGUAACGACCUCGGCGUACCACGUGGCGCUGCUAUGUUAUACCUCGACGCGGCGAUCACACUCGCGUGCUGCCCACCGGCUCCGGCGCAUCUCGGUCUGCCGUGUCGCGUCGCGUCGCGUCACGCGCGAUACAUCGGCGUCACGUCGUCGUCGUCGUCGUCGUUGUCAUGAACAUGAAAUUACAUACAGCAAACUGUAACACGCGGGACGGUUCUCGAGUGCGACGUGAUGGUGAUUAUAUCAAUAAUACAAAUAUCUUAUGCCUCUCUCAAUAUAAAAACGUUGUUUAUAAUUGACUUAAAUUAACAUCGUCCGGAGUUUAUCGCUAAAAUCGCAGAAGAUUAAUUAAAAUUAUAUGCCGAUUGAUUAAUUUUAAUUUCAAUUAAUUAGCGUUUGAGUGACGAGAAAGGUACUUGAGGUGAUUAGAAGUUCUAAUGUGUCCGCUUGAUCGGAAGCGACGAAAAAUCGCUUUUAAAUGCGAUCCGGGUAAAUGCGAGAGUCAACAUCCGGAUGAAAGCCGGCUGAUGAUGUCUGAGUGGGAUCGCAAAUCCAUCUGUCGUCAAUCAAUGAUUCCCAGGUGUGGAUUUCCUAUGAAGCACUCUAUGCCCUCCAAUCCCAAGGACGACAGCCUGAUUAUCUCCAAGGAAUGAUAAGCAAAGUCGUGGAUCGUUCCGGAUAUUAUAUCAAGUGAGUGCUCUUUUUCAUUUAGAAUGUAUUCGAUAAUUAUUCCAGAUCUUUACAUAAUCCAGACAGCCUUGGAAAUCCAUGUUCUUGAUAUUCUCAUUAAAAAGUAUUCAACUUUCAAACGAGGAGCGAUGUUUUGUUGAACGAUGUUUUUAAAAAUGUGUGUUUUAUUUUUCUGCCUGUUUUAACAAAGUAAUUAUGUCCGAGUGUGGAUCAAUAUAAUUCAAAUUACGGAAAUACCUUUGCUACGUCUCUUAUAUUUCGCCGCCUGAUUCUUGCGUAGAUUCUCGUUCUCGCAAGAAUUCGAAGGAUAUCGUCGCGAAAUCGCGCGGGGUUUCCUGACUUUUGCCGAGCCCGCGAAACUUUUUGAUCGAUAGCCUGCUACUAUAAGCGUACACGCUACUAUAAGCGCGGACAGAUCGUCAUCGCUAGAGCUUCUAGGAAGAGAGCGAGUCGACGAUUUCUUCGCGAGCCGGCUGAUCUCGUCCCGGAUUUCGUCGAUAUUCGCAAAGGAGAACAUGUCGAUGACCCUUAUAUACCCGGACGUACAUCGCCGGCGAGGCGAAGGCACACGUUUGCUAUAAAGAUCUAUCUAUAGACAUUAGCAUUCAUUGGCCACAUCGUCGCACAUGUACAAUGUCGUCGUUGUCACAAUAAAGGAAACGGCCGUUAUCUCUCUCGCUAUCGCCGUUCAUUACCCAUUAUCGCCUAAUUAACGUUGAACAUGGCGCAUGGCCAAAACGAGACUUUUCGAGGCUAAUUAAUUACACGUUCCGAACUUCCUCUCCAUUCCGAGCUACAGAAAACAGUGUCUAAUGUUAAGGAGCACCAUGACCCAAUAUCCCGCGCGGAUAUCCAAGGUAAUUCCUUCGGGACGAGUGUGCGAUCGAAAGAACGGAAUCUUCUUCCUUUCCGUUCGGGAACUAUAUUACGCUCCCUGGAAAGUGCCACUCAAAGAGAAACGACACCAGACAUUCUCCCGAAGACGCGAGGUGGGGUAGUACAAGGUUGCGCUACGUAUACUAACUAAGCGGGCUUAUGUAAUGCAGAACUACAAAGAAGAUACCUACGUAAGUGGACCGGUAAAUUAUGAAAAAGCCUCUUUUCUCUCCGCGAAAGGGUUCCGCAGCCUGGUUAUACGCGUCACGCUAACAUUAUCCGCGUGGGGUGCAUGAAGCAUUCAUCCCUCUCGUAUUGACGAGGCGCUUCAAAAGUUCUCCGCGCCGGCCACAGGUCGUGGAAAAGGCCGUGGAAAUUUCAUUUUAUUUCUUUUUCUUUUUUUUUUUUUUUUUUUUUAACGUACAAAACUCUGGAAAGAGUUCUCCAACUUGGAAUGCCGUCAUUACGAUGCGAACGAGUUCUACAUACGCUUACGAGAAUCUUAUCGUUUUAGCCAAGGUCCUGUAAAAACAGAUCUUAUAAGAAUGAUAGUCUGACGUUAAUACAAUCUUUUUUUUUUUCCAUUUCAAAGAGAUUAAUGCUCACAGAUUAGUUAAAGAUUAGCACAAAAUUAUAUUUAUAUUUACGACGAUACUUACAGAAGAGUAUAAAUCAGAAACGGGAAGAAGGCGUGCGCCAAGUUUUACGACGGCGUUAAUCGCGACUGCGUUUUUAUCGUCACGUAAUACUUAUCGUUAAUCCUUGAGUGACAACCACAUGAAGCUGUAGAUAAGUGAAGCAUUCAGCAUUCUCUGUGGUCUGCAAUGUGCAGCCCAACAUGUUUUACGAGGUAUUUAAAAUAAUUAUCGUCGAGCAACACGCGACGCUUUUAGUAGGGAUAUAAAAAAAAAAAACGAAUCUCCCGCUUCGAAAUUGGACCGCAAAGUUUGCGAAUUUUCGAGGAUCCUUGAAUUCUCCUCGAUCUGAUGGACUUUUGUCAGGGAAUACAUACGCUCCUUGAGAAUCGCGUAACAUCGCGUAGGUCGCGCGACAUGGUCGAAGAAAAAAAAAGGUAGAUAGUUGCGUGGAGACAUCAACGUGAUCGACUCGCGUGUCCCUUCUCCGAUCAUCCUUCCGCCUGCGCCGCAGGAGGAUGCGCGUCCUGAACGGCCAAUUGAAAUACGCCUGUCGCAUCGAAGGGCUCCCGAAAGGGAGUCAGCUGUGUGGUGUUAAAUAGAGGGGGAAGAAUACAUCCCUCUAUCGCUUCUUCGCCGGCCGGCUCGCUCCUUUGCAUAACAGUCUACAUUACAGCUCCUGUGACACACGUGGGUGGACGUAGUGGACGUCGGUCAAAGCAUGCAAAGAUGAUGUUCGUCGUAAUUCGAAGGAUCCGCCGGGAUGUUGAGUGAAACAGCUGCGAGUUUUGCCAUCCGAGAUGAUAUCGCUGUAAAAAUUUUCAAUACUUUUAGAUAACUUGCGAAGAAAUCAUGGAAAAUACUUGCAAGUUUUCGUGGAAAUUGAAAUG